rnacentral:rRNA from 1 species
UACGGAGGGGACUAGCGUUAUUCGGAAUUACUGGGCGUAAAGCGCGCGUAGGCGGAUUUAUAAGUCAGGGGUGAAAGCACGUGGCUCAACGUCGGAACUGCCUUUGAUACUGCAAAUCUCGAGACUGGAAGAGGUGAGUGGAAUUCCUAGUGUAGAGGUGAAAUUCGUAGAUAUUAGAUAGAACACCAGUUGCGAAGGCGGCUCGCUGGUCUGGUACUGACGCUGAGGUGCGAAAGCGUGGGGAGCAAACAGG